rnacentral:rRNA from 1 species
GACGAACGCUGGCGGCGUGCUUAACACAUGCAAGUCGAACGGUGAAGCGCUUUCCUUUUUGGUGGGUGUGGAUGAGAGGGGAACGGGAGCGUAACACGAGAGUAACCUGCACCCUUCUUCUGGAUAACCGCACGAAAGCGUGGCUAAUAUAGGAUAUCCUGGGUCUGUGGGAUGAUGGGUCUGGGACGGCUGUUGUUUCGGUGGGGGCUGGGCUCGCGGCCUAUGAGCGUGUUGGGGGGGUGAUGGCCUACCAAGGCGGGGACGGGUAGCCGGCCUGGGAGGGUGGACGGUCACACUGGGACUGCGGCACCGCCCGGACUCCUACGGGGGGCAGCAGUGGAGAGUAGGGCACAAUGGGGGCAAGCCUGAUACAGCGACGCCGCGUGAGGGAUGGAGGCCUGCGGGGUGUGAACCUCUUCCGCUUGUGAACCGGGCCUGCCUCGUUUGUAGGUUGGUUGACGGUAGCGGGUAAAGAAGCGCCGGCUAACUACGUG